AAACAACCCUUCCCUCAGUUCCUGCUCCUGGCGCUGUUCUCCUGCUCAUCUAUGUAACCGCCAAGCCAUGAAGCGCUGCAAUACUAUAAAAAGUGACCUCUCUUCCAUGUGGUCAUCAAAGCCGAAAAGACCUCUCUUCCUUGCUUGUCUGCCUCCUUGUCUGCUUCACCGUCUCGUAAAAAAAUGGAGAAAGCGAUCAACAGGCAGCGAGUUCUUCUCGAUCGCCUUCGUCCUUCUUCAUCUUCUUUGCACAAUUAUGAGUCCUCUCUCUCUGCAUUGGCGUGCUUGGCUGGAGAGAGCGCUGCGUAUCAUAGGACUUCGGUUUAUGGGGAUGAUUUUGUGAUUGUAGCAGCAUAUCGAA
rnacentral:misc_RNA from 1 species